rnacentral:tRNA from 1 species
AAAACCAUAGUUUAAUUUUAAAAUGCAUGGGUUGCAUUCAUGUGAUGUGUUUAAAACUGGUUUUA